rfam:Nadsonia fulvescens var. elongata DSM 6958 unplaced genomic scaffold NADFTscaffold_2, whole genome shotgun sequence.
GCCUCUUUGGCCAAGUGGCUAAGGCGUCGCACUUGUAAUGCGAAGAUCACUGGUUCAAUUCCGGUAUGAGGCC